AGACUUCGCGGAGGUUUAACCUCCCUAAAGAGCCCAUGUAGACCACAUGGUUGAUAGGCGCGGUGUGUAAGUGUGGUAACACAUUCAGCUAACGCGUACUAAUUGCUCGUGAGGCUUAAUCAUAUAACGC
rnacentral:rRNA from 1 species